AUCUGCAAAGACAUUUCAGCUCGCUGUACUUGGUGGAACAGCUGAACCCGUCUAUGGAUUAAUAAGAAAAGAGGCUGAACUGAAACCAGAAGUGACCGAAACCAUACGCAGCAUCACAUGGAAGAAACAGAAGGACAAAAUAGCCGAGUGGGACGGAAGUGAUAAACCGGAAUAUUAUGGCAGAUGUUCGAAAGACCAGUGUGACCUGAGUCCCACAACUGGGGUGCUGGUAAUGAAAGGGUUAAAACGAGAAGAUGAAUGGACAUAUUCUGCUGAAAUAAAUGGGAAAACAUCUCAAGAGGAGUUUCUGGUGACUGUACUUGAUCCUGUGUCCAAACCUAGAGUGA